rnacentral:rRNA from 1 species
GACGUAGGUCGCGAACGUUAUCCGGAAUUAUUGGGCGUAAAGGGUGCGUAGAUGACCUGAUAAGUUAGCAGUGGUAAAUCGGGGCUCAACCUCGUGGAAACUGGUAAUACUGUCAGGAUUGAGUACAGGAGAGGUUUAACGGAACUCCAUGUGGAGCGGUAAAAUGCGUAGAUAUAUGGAUGAACACCAAUAACGGCGAAGGCAGUUAACUAUUCUGUUACUGACAUUGAGGCACGAAAGCGUGGGGAGCAAAACGG